rnacentral:rRNA from 1 species
UUCAGAGGUCCCGAGCGUUGUUCGGAUUUACUGGGCGUAAAGGGAGCGUAGGCGGUUUGGUGUGUCGAAUGUGAAAGCCCACAACUCAACUGUGGAAUGGCAUUCGAAACUACUGAGCUAGAGUACUGGAGAGGAGAGCGGAAUUCUUGGUGUAGCGGUGAAAUGCGUAGAUAUCAAGAGGAACACCGGCGGCGAAGGCGGCUCUCUGGACAGAUACUGACGCUGAGGCUCUAAAGUUAGGGGAGCAAACAGG